CUACGGGGGGCAGCAGUGGGGAAUCUUAGACAAUGGGGGAAACCCUGAUCUAGCCAUGCCGCGUGAGCGACGACGGCCCUAGGGUUGUAAAGCUCUUUCAGCAGGGAAGAUAAUGACGGUACCUGCAGAAGAAGUCCCGGCUAACUCCGUGCCAGCAGCCGCGGUAAUACGGAGGGGACUAGCGUUGUUCGGAAUUACUGGGCGUAAAGCGCGCGUAGGCGGAUUGUUAAGUCGGGGGUGAAAUCCCGGGGCUCAACCCCGGAACUGCCCUCGAUACUGGCAGUCUUGAGUUCGAGAGAGGUGAGUGGAAUUCCGAGUGUAGAGGUGAAAUUCGUAGAUAUUCGGAGGAACACCAGUGGCGAAGGCGGCUCACUGGCUCGAUACUGACGCUGAGGUGCGAAAGCGUGGGGAGCAAACAGGAUUAGAUACCCGGGUAGUC
rnacentral:rRNA from 1 species